rnacentral:rRNA from 1 species
GUCGACGGCAGCAUAGGAGCUUGCUCCUGAUGGCGAGUGGCGAACGGGUGAGUAAUAUAUCGGAACGUGCCCUAGAGUGGGGGAUAACUAGUCGAAAGACUAGCUAAUACCGCAUACGAUCUACGGAUGAAAGUGGGGGAUCGCAAGACCUCAUGCUCCUGGAGCGGCCGAUAUCUGAUUAGCUAGUUGGUGGGGUAAAAGCCUACCAAGGCAACGAUCAGUAGCUGGUCUGAGAGGACGACCAGCCACACUGGGACUGAGACACGGCCCAGACUCCUACGGGAGGCAGCAGUGGGGAAUUUUGGACAAUGGGGGCAACCCUGAUCCAGCAAUGCCGCGUGAGUGAAGAAGGCCUUCGGGUUGUAAAGCUCUUUUGUCAGGGAAGAAACGGUAGUAGCGAAUAACUAUUACUAAUGACGGUACCUGAAGAAUAAGCACCGGCUAACUACGUGCCAGCAGCCGCGGUAAUACGUAGGGUGCAAGCGUUAAUCGGAAUUACUGGGCGUAAAGCGUGCGCAGGCGGUUGUGUAAGUCAGAUGUGAAAUCCCCGGGCUCAACCUGGGAAUUGCAUUUGAGACUGCACGGCUAGAGUGUGUCAGAGGGGGGUAGAAUUCCACGUGUAGCAGUGAAAUGCGUAG